rnacentral:lncRNA from 1 species
CGGCGGUACCACAAAGUCAGCCACCUGGAUCCUCACACCUUCUGCCUCCCUGACCAGGGAGAAGGAGGCUGCCCACAGGGCCCUGGGGCCGCUUGCCUUCCACUUUUCAUUCAACAAACGUCAUUAGCUUCUGACCCUGUGCCAGGCACCAAGCCAGGCUCAAAAUGUAGAUGAGGAAAGACAGAGCCCAGGUACUUCCUGCUCUCAGGGUUUCACCCUCUAGAAGGGGAGGCAGACGCUUAGCCAGGUUGCAGUGAGUGGGUCAGGGAAGGCUUCCUGGAAGAGGUGCCGUUUGACUGAGACCUGAACUGUGAACAUGAGUUAGCCAGGGGCAAAGCACAGGGGAAGAGUGUUGCAGCCUGGGACCCCCCAGUUAGAAAGGCUGCCUGAGCAGGAGCUAAGCACCAGUUAGUCAUUCUCUCCUGGCGGAGGGCCUACUGUGUGUCCCGGGCUGCAAGUGAACAACAGGACAAAACGCCCUGGCCUCGCGGAGCUGAUCCUGCCCUGCCCUGUAACUCGGGUGUCUCCGCGGGCCGAGCCUGGCACACAAUGAGAGCAGUGAGGCACAGAGAAGGUGACCGCCUGAGGUAUCUCGGUUGAUGGAAUCUCACUCUGUUGCCUAGGCCAGAUGGAGUGCAGUAGCACGAUCUCAGCUCACUGCAGCUUCUGCCUCCCGGGUUCAAGCAACUCUCCUGCUUCAGCCUCCUGAGUAGUGAGAUUACAGGCUGCACCACAACGCCCAGCUAAUUUUUCUAUCUUUAGUAGAGAGGGGGUUUCACCAUGUUGGCCAGGCUGGUCUGGAACUGUUGACCUUAGGUGAUCCGCCUGCCUCGGCCUCCCAAAGUGCUGGGAUUACAGAUAUGAGCCACCGCAUCCGGCCUAUUCUGCUAGCCUAUUCUGCUAAUUUUUAAGUCUGUGCAACUUUCAAGGGAAAUUAAAUCCCGAUAUGCCCUACUCAUUUUACACCAAAGUCAUCAAAAUGUGGCUUUCAACGCCCCUUUGAAGUCCUAAAACUAGACUUGGUCAAGAGGCCCAAGUGUUUUAAGUGCAUCGGAAACAAAGAAACAUGUUAAUAAAAUGUUUCCUUCUUGGCAGCAUCCUGGUGAGUGCCUCCCUGGGUUGCAAAGGGAAAUGUGAUGAGGAAGAGGUGGGCUUGUGUGCUUUGAAGUGGGCAGGGCCUGGGAAUCUCUACAGGGCAGUGCAGCUGCUGUCCGCUU